GCAAAACAUUGUGGAGGUCAAGACUACGAGGCAACAUACUGGAAGGUAUUAGGUAAACAGUGUUGGCUUCAGCAUGGUCCCCGGCUGUGUACCAAUGGACUUUCUGUUUACGUGGGCUUUUACCAUUCUCUCGAACGGUGAAGGAAGGAUCGUGAGGAAACCAGCUUGCUUUAGACCCAAUUCAGAUUGAUCACCUACUUGCCUAUUAGAUUGACAAAUGACCAUGAAACCGAUUCAGAAAUCUGAGGCUCUAAAAAGGUUGUAUCGCGACUGAUUUAUUUAUGCAUUUUAUUAUGUAAAACACCACAAUAAAUGAUGAUAUGGAGAUAUA